CUUGCCUUCACAGCAGAAAGCCCUGAGCCCUGCUGCUAUCCCUGGCCAGGGCAAAGCCUCCUUGACCACCUUCAAGGACGGGGGCUUGCUGGCCCUCAGGGCGCCCCUCCGAGGUGAGUCCCUCAGCUUCUUGGGCCAGGACAAGUUUGGUGAAGCAGCCCCCUGAGCACCUCACCUCUCCUCUUGGGGCUCCAUGUGUCCCACAGAAGCCAGAGCCCCCCACCGCCGGGCUGCUGCCCUGGUCUUCUGGGCAAAGUGGGCACUGGGCUGAGUGGAAUGCUGCUCGCUCCUGACUGUCCCCCAGAGGGGUCCCGGGUUCAGGGCACAGCCCUCAGCCUGCCAGCCCUGCCUUGGGGUCCUGGGGGCCUCAGCAGCCCCAGAGAGGCCAGACAGGCUCUCCUAGCCAGUCCCUAAGGUGCCGUCAAAGGACACUUCUGGGAAGGGGACUGGACAGCAGGACAACUGUCCAGAUCCCUGCUCCAAGUCUGGCUGUGCCCGGAGACCUCAGGAGGCCCCCGAGGGAGCCCCAAGGACAGUCCUCACCCCAGGUCCCCUCGGAGGAAGCGGGCCCCACGGGGGGCGCCCCAGACACACCUGUCUUCCCAGCCCCCUGGCCUGUGGCUGGCCAGGCCCCGUGCCUGAGAGGGCGGAGGACGGACACAAGCGAGCCAGCUGUCCAGUUUUCUCACACCUCCUCACAAAUCCCCGCCUCUCAGGAAUAAUUCUUUCUGGUAAUUUACUUGCAAAACAUUUGGCCAUUAACACCCAGCCAAGAGUGGAUGGCAGGUCACAGACUAUUAAAAAUAUCCACACCUGGGCCCUUGGCGGCCUUUUAACCACUGCCCUGGGCACGGGGUCCAGCCAGGGGCUGCUUGUGUCUGCCAGGCCUGGAGGAGGGCAGGGUGUGGCCGCCCACACCUCCCGGCCCUCUCACCGCCCUCUUCCUCUACCACCAACGUGGCCUCAUCCUUUGGCUGGGGCUGGGGCAGGGACAUGCCCAACCCCAGGGCCCCCGGGGGCACCAAGGCAGCUAGGUGGGCACAGGCUUCACUGGCCAGGGGGACUACAGCAGGGGAGCCCCUCCAGGAGGGCUGGGGUGUGCCCUGGCCUGUGCUGGCCAGGCCCCGUGCCUGGGGACACUCUCAACAGGGAGCUGACCCCACCACAGUUGGACAGAGGGCAGGCCCUAGCCACUGCCUGGCUCCCCAGGGCCCUGUGUCCUGACCCACCUACUGCGCUGACCUGGGUCAUGGAGCGCUCCACACGACGCAGCUGCCGCCCGCACCUCCGCUCAGCAGCCCCAGGAGCCCAAGGCCUCCACACCUCCUUCAGGGAGGGACACCCAGGCGCCAGGGGGGGUCACACGCCCACCCUCAGGGGAGGGGUGGUCUCAGCUGGCCCUGACCUGCCGUUCCCAGUGACAGUUGGGCCCCCCCACCUCGUUCCUCAGCAGGAGGACUUCCUGGGGGAUCGUCUGUGGGGCCAUUGCUUGGGAGUAGCCCCGGGUCCAAUGACACCAGGCCACCGGGCCAGGCGGGGCCCACCCACCAGUCCCCGUGGGGGCCGUGCACCUCCUCCCCCAGGCCUGGCUGGGACAUUCUGGUCCUGAAGGUCAGGAUGGUGGGAGGGCUCUGACCCCUGAGCCGGAGGUUCCGCCUCCCAAGAAAGCAAAGCAAGGACUUCUGGUGGCCCUGGACCCCCAGCACCCCCAGGAGGAGACCCCCUUCCCAGGCACACAGCCAAGGGGUACCCUCCUCCCGGCCAACAGGGUCCUCUGGGUGAGGGCCAGCUGCAUGGUCCACCUUGGCCAGAGACCAGUCUGUGAGCUAUGGCCAUGCUGCUGCCCAGCCAGGCCAGGAGGGACACCGACAGAGCCACUCAAUGCCUGAAUCCACCAGAAGCUGGGGUCGUCCCGGGGCUGGGGGAUCUGGGCUCCUUCUGGGGGGAUAGUUGGCCUGGAGACAGGGCCUCAGCCCUGUCCUCAGGGAGACCAGCAUCCCCCAGGAGAGCCUGUCCUUGGGGGCUGUGACGGAGGAGCUUCCCCACAGGUGAGGAGGAAAACCAGCCUCCUUCGGGGUGCCUGGGAGGGCCAGCCGCAAGCAGCCUGCUCCAGUGCUCGGCCACCAGGAGCGGGCAGCUCCCACUCCAGACAAGCUCCGGGCACGGCUCACUCCGCCCCCCCGACCUGGGCUCCCAGGGCAGCAGCCCACCCUGCCUUGGCCUUUGAUCUGCCCAGACUUCUGGCCCCCAGGGCACGGCCAGGGGCCUGGCAGGUCUGGCUGGCCGGCCAGGGAUGGCCUCUGCCCCAAGAGGAGGGUGGAGGCACAGGAGCCGGAAUGGGCAGGGGUAACUCCGAGGGCCACUGGUCCUGCUCCAGGGGCAGGAACAUGCCGGAGGUGGGGGCUGCUUCCACUCAAGGUCACAGCCCUCGAGCCCCAGACCUUCCAGCCCUCAGGACCAAAGCCUGGCCGUGGUCCCUCCUGCCUCCCCUCCAGACUUCCUAGAACUGAACACCCCGAAGACCAGGCCUUGACGGGAGAUGAAGUGGGCUUCAGAGACUGACACCACCCUGACUCACAGGCCUCAAACCCCUGCCCACGCCACAGGCCAUGGGCCUCGGUGGGACGCUUGAUCACGCCCACCCUGCAGCCCAAGGCCAGCCCUGAUUCUCACUCUCCAGGAGAGCCUUUGACAAACGGGGUGUUCCGGGCAGGUCGGCAGCCAGGCUGAGACCAGCUGCAACCAGCCCUCAAGCCCUGUGAGGGCCCUCUCUGGGCCAGCCCCUUGGACACCCACUGAGUGGCCACAAGGGAAAAUCCAGGGCGGCCCCAGGGCCAGACCAGCACCCAGCACCCAGCAGGUGCUCAGCGAGCCCCAGGGGGACCAAGCAAGGUGGCUCUGAGGACCACGGGCUACAGCUCACCCUGCUUGGCUGGGGUCCAACUCCAGCCCAGGGGACCUCAGGGUACCUGCCAGGGCAGCACCGGGGACAGUAAGGAGGUCAGACCCCAGGUCUCAGCCUCCAGGAGGGACCUUCCAGCCCCUCUCCUCCCACAGCCCCCACCCGCCACGCCAGAGGGGUUUAUAAGCAACCGCGCGGCGCACCAGAGAGAGCCCCACUAUCAUUAAGGGAUUUAACGACAGCUUUGCCCGAUAUUGGGGAUUUGCUCUGUCUCUCAUUACACUUUUAACAAGCACGUUCUCCGACGCAGCCCUCGUCGCCGGCCGCCCUCCCCUCCGCUGGGCUCGUCUCAUUAGAAGGCGUUUUAUGAAGCCUCCCAUCACAGAUGCGCGUUCAACCCACGACCACACCCGCGGGGCCUGGUGUCCUGUGCGGGUGGCCAGCGGUGUGCUGUGCCCCCAGUGCACAAAGGGGCUGUGGUGAGGCCUUUCCCUGACACCCUGUGGCAGGCAGGCCUGGGACCUGGGCCUAGGCUGCGGGAAAGCGGGUACCCAGGGCAUCCCGCCUCCUCUGGCCCCGUCCCCAGGGUGGGACAGCUCAGCAGACAAGCACCUCUGGUUAUUUUAGCAGGAACUCUGCUAUCCCACAAACCACUAAGUGUUGUAAAAACAAACCCCCAAAGGCAGAAGCAAACCCUGUAGGUGCCAAACAUGCUGCUGUGCACCCCUCCCCACCUCUGGGAGGCCCAGGAGCCCCGGAGUCUCUGGGAGUCUUGGAACAUGGCUGAGGCCUGGGUGUCCCUUUCACACUGUGACUGGAACCCCCAUGCACAACCAGGGUGCACCAGCCCUGUCUUGAGAGUCAACCUCAGGCACCUGGGGGCCCAGGUGGACUGGGUGUCCUCUCAGAGCUUGGGCUGAGGGGCCCACAGGAGGAGGAACUCAUCCCAGAGACUGGAAGCCCAGCUUCUGAGAGGCACCUGCCACAUGUCCUCUGAGCCACCUCCGGCAGCUGAGCAUGUGCCCAGCCACGGUGGACAAGCCUGCAGGAGGGGGAGCACAGGGUCCUGCAGGGCGGGUAGAGACAGCGCACCUGCAGCCCAGGGCUGCCUGCCGAGGAGGGUUCAGACACAGGGCUGCAGUGAGGAGGGGCGGGAAAGGAUGGCAGGCAGCUGCGUCCCUCGGCCCCUCGGCACCCAUGACAGACCUUCCCAGAACAUCCUGACCAGCCUCCCUCCGGGUCCCUGGAGUCCCUCUGUCUACAUCGCGUCGGGAGGGAUUCCCUGUCCCAAGAGCAGCUGGUGCUGAAGGUGCGUCUGCAGACAGCUGAGCUCUGCCUCGUGCCAUGGACAAGACAAGGCAAACGUGCACAGGACAGGAACCUGGCAGAGUCCAGGAGGGAGCCGCAGAAACACAGAGAGGUGUUGGCAGCCACGGCCAGCUCACCCUGCCCCCCAGAAAGGAGCGAAUGAAACGGCGUUGUGUCUGGAGAACAGGAAGUGGCCCUGAGUCCCCCGUGUAAAAGCCAUCUGAAGCCAUGGACCAGGACCAGGCACCACCAGUGGGAGAAGCCAUGCAGACCCAGCCGGAGAGCAAGCCCCCAGCGUCUGUCUCUCGCUGGGAAAGGCCACGCCACGCCGCGUUCUAGCCAUGACAGACGGCCACUUGGAAUUUUCUGAUAAGUUAUUUUGUCUAGCCGGCAUUCCAGGCCGACCUCCUUGGCCCCCAAACCUCUUAUAAAUCAUCUCCCUGGGAGUGGGAAGCGGAAUUCUGCCCGAGUCUCAACCCGGAGCAGCGGGUUCCGCGUGCAGGAACCUGUCGUUCUCAUUCGUGAUGAGGGCUAGUCCUCGCCAGCCCCGUGGUUGGGGCCCCUGGCCAUGGCCUGCAGGGUGGGCAUGGGCCUGAGCGUGGCGCUCAGGAGACCCCUGAGGGGCAGGUUGGAAAACGGAAACGUGAGCCUGUCCCUGUUUCACGAUGAAGCCAAGCGGCCGGUGUGAACCAGGAAGGGCUGACGGAGUGUGCGGGGGGAGCUGGCCCCAGGGGCUGCUGUCAGCCUCCAGGUGAGAUGCUGGGGCGGGAGACAAGAAUGUCCCUGCCUGGUGGGCCACUGUGUCCUGGCCAGCACCAAGAUGCCCACGGCAGGGAGACCCAAAGCUCAGGACAGGGAGGCUGUCGGGGCAUUCCUAGGGCUGCCCUAGCCAGUUCCCCAACACUGGGUGCUUGGAACACCAAAACUCACCCUCUCCUAGUCCUGGAGACCAGAAGGGCUGCUCCGAGGUGUCGGCAGAGCUGCACUCACUCUGCGGGCCACGGAGGCCCUUCCCCUCCCCUAGCUUCAUGGGCUUCUGGACGGCUGGGCCGGUGGACAUGCCUCCCUCUCUCUGCCUUCAUGUCCUCAGAUCUCUCCUCCACCAGUCCUGGCUCAACGCCCCGCCCUCGGGAAGGCCGCCUCCCAUGGCAGCCACAAGGACCCAUGCCUGUUUUCCCAACGCUUCUCACCAGUUGUCACAGUCCAUCCACUUGUUUCUCUCCCCACAAGACCGUGCACUCCACAGAGGCAGACCGAGGCGUUGAUUCACCACCGCAUCUCUGAGCCACCAUCGUGCUCUGCAAGUGGACCCUUCAGAAACACUCACCAAAGAAACAUGUAGAAGUGCUGAGGGAAUGGUGAAUGGAGGGCAUGCUGGAAGGAGGGUGCACAGUGGGUGAGUUGGCCAGGGCUGGCCCCUGGGUGAAGGCUGAGGGGGGACUGCCUCCUUCCGGACAAGAGGUGUAGACCCUGCCCCUCCUCGUGCUGUGGAGGGCACCUGCUCACAACUGGCACAUGGGAGGCCCCAACACAAGGUGCCACAGGUGCCCUGGAGCCCAAUCUGCUCCUCCCCAGUGUCCGAUGCCACUAUGCACCAUGCAAGGGGACAACUUCGUGUUUGCUCCAGGACUUCUUCAGGAGCAGGAACACUGUGGCACAAAGUCCCAGGAGGUGGAAAGUACAGGUCCCUGGGCCUGAGCUCACCUCCACUGCCAUGACAUGAAGGUGGCCACAGACUGCAGGGCCAGGGGUGUGGCUCCACUCCCAGAGCAUGUGUGGACACUGAGGCCAUCUUCCACGUCAAGCUCAACGCCAUGAAAGAUUCUUUGAUUUUCUUGAAACCAUGAAAACUGUGCUUGGCCCACAGCCCCUUCAGAAUGUUGGUGACCGGACCCAGUCUGCAGGCUGUGACUUGCUGCCCCACCUAGAAAGGGUCCGUCCCCUUCCCUGAUCUGCCACAUGGUGAUGUGUUUGUGCUGUUCCCCAAGCAACCUGCAGGGUCUCGUGCUGCCCACAUCCCCUCCCACACUCCCCCUUUCCUGGUUGAAAUAAACAUUGCUUGUGUGGUUCA